ensembl:lncRNA
AACUGUUUCCAAUGUGUGGUUGUGUUCGUCUAGUCUUUAUUUACCCAGAACAUGUCUCCUUCCUGAACAUAACCCAGACAGACCCCUCUCUGAAAUACUUGAUGUAGGUUUUAUUUUUUAUUUAUUUUUGUAUUCAAGGGUUUCGUCACAAAUGGCACCCUAUUCAAUCAGUGCAUUCCUUCUGACCAGAGCCCGAUAAGGGCACUAUAUAGGGAAUCGGGUGUAAUUUGGGAUGCAGGUUCUCUCUCCCUCUGACAGCUGGGUGGAACCGUAGCCUUCCAGGUGCUGUCCUUCACGGAUGGUGAGAAUGAUUCUGUGAGCAGCCUUCCGGUCUCUUCUUCCUCAGUUGAACCCAUACAAAUGUAAUCCUCCCAGCGGUCUGAGGCUCUGCAUCGCAGUUCUGAUGUUCCACUGGGAUGGGCGUUUGAUCCGUGACCGGGAGUGCCAUAGGGCGGAGUACAGUUGGCCCAGCGCCGUCCGUGGUAGGGGAGGGUUUGACCAGGGGGGGGGGAGUUUCCUUGGAUCAUCGGGCCGGGUACCUGGAAGCUGACUUCGGUCUUCGGGCGGACUGUGUUUCCUCCGAAACAUUGGUGUGGCUGGCUUCCAGGUUAAGUGAGCAGUGGGUUAAGAAGCAGCACGGCUUGGCGGGUCAUGUUUCCGAGGACCCACGGCUCGACCUUCGCCUCUCCUGAGUCCGUUGGGAAGUUGCAGCGACAAGACAAAGGUCAAAACUAGAAAUUGGGGAGAAAAAUAAGUAGAAUAUUCUAGGAUUCUAGUUCUAUGGUUGAACAUCUGAAGCUCUUUUGUUCUCUCAUAGGGGUGCAUCCCAAUAGACUAGAGUCUUUAGCUUCAUCUGCACCGAUAUGAAAUAUGUGGACUGGGUAUAGACAGUAAAACUUCCUGUAAGCAUCCUGUAUGUUACACCUGUCCUGUGUCUUUAGGGGCGGCAGGUAGCCUAGUGGUUAGAGGGGCGUCAGGUAGCCUAGUGGUUAGAGGGGCGGCAGGUAGCCUAGUGGUUUAGAGGGGCGUCAGGUAGCCUAGUGGUUAGAGGGGCGUCAGGUAGCCUAGUGGUUAGAGGGGCGGCAGGUAGCCUAGUGGUUUAGAGGGGCGUCAGGUAGCCUAGUGGUUAGAGGGGCGGCAGGUAGCCUAGUGGUUAGAGGGGCGUCAGGUAGCCUAGUGGUUAGAGGGGCGUCAGGUAGCCUAGUGGUUAGAGGGGCGGCAGGUAGCCUAGUGGUUUAGAGGGGCGUCAGGUAGCCUAGUGGUUAGAGGGGUGGCAGGUAGCCUAGUGGUUAGAGGGGCGGCAGGUAGCCUAGUGGUUUAGAGGGGCGUCAGGUAGCCUAGUGGUUAGAGGGGCGGAAGGUAGCCUAGUGGUUAGAGGGGCGGCAGGUAGCCUAGUGGUUUAGAGGGGCGUCAGGUAGCCUAGUGGUUAGAGGGGCGGAAGGUAGCCUAGUGGUUAGAGGGGCGGCAGGUAGCCUAGUGGUUUAGAGGGGCGUCAGGUAGCCUAGUGGUUAGAGGGGCGGCAGGUAGCCUAGUGGUUAGAGGGGCGGCAGGUAGCCUAGUGGUUUAGAGGGGCGGAAGGUAGCCUAGUGGUUAGAGGGGCGGCAGGUAGCCUAGUGGUUUAGAGGGGCGGCAGGUAGCCUAGUGGUUUAGAGGGGCGUCAGGUAGCCUAGUGGUUAGAGGGGCGGCAGGUAGCCUAGUGGUUUAGAGGGGCGUCAGGUAGCCUAGUGGUUAGAGGGGCGGCAGGUAGCCUAGUGGUUAGAGGGGCGGCAGGUAGCCUAGUGGUUUAGAGGGGCGUCAGGUAGCCUAGUGGUUAGAGGGGCGGAAGGUAGCCUAGUGGUUAGAGGGGCGGCAGGUAGCCUAGUGGUUUAGAGGGGCGUCAGGUAGCCUAGUGGUUAGAGGGGCGGCAGGUAGCCUAGUGGUUAGAGGGGCGGAAGGUAGCCUAGUGGUUAGAGGGGCGUCAGGUAGCCUAGUGGUUAGAGGGGCGGCAGGUAGCCUAGUGGUUUAGAGGGGCGUCAGGUAGCCUAGUGGUUAGAGGGGCGUCAGGUAGCCUAGUGGUUAGAGGGGCGGCAGGUAGCCUAGUGGUUUAGAGGGGCGUCAGGUAGCCUAGUGGUUAGAGGGGCGGCAGGUAGCCUAGUGGUUAGAGGGGCGGCAGGUAGCCUAGUGGUUUAGAGGGGCGUCAGGUAGCCUAGUGGUUAGAGGGGCGGAAGGUAGCCUAGUGGUUAGAGGGGCGGCAGGUAGCCUAGUGGUUUAGAGGGGCGUCAGGUAGCCUAGUGGUUAGAGGGGCGGAAGGUAGCCUAGUGGUUUAGAGGGGAGGCAUGUAGCCUAGUGGUUUAGAGGGGAGGCAUGUAGCCUAGUGGUUUAGAGGGGAGGCAGGUAGCCUAGUGGUUUAGAGGGGAGGCAUGUAGCCUAGUGGUUUAGAGGGGAGGCAGGUAACCUAGUUGUUAGAGCGUUGGACUAGUAACCGAAAGGUUGAUGGAUCGAAUCCCGGAGCUGACAAGGUAAAAAUCUGUCGUUCUGCCCCUGAACAAGGCAGUUAACCCACUGUUCCUAGGCCGUCAUUGAAAAUAUUUUCGAAUUUGUUCUUAAAACUGACCUACCUAGUUAAAUAAAGGUUAAUAAUAAUAAUAAUGCAGACCACAGAUGAAGGAGAGGAGAGCAAGUCAUUUUACACCACUUGAACUAGUUCUGAUUUGGAAAACAGAACAUCUGAACUGACAACUCCAGUCAGCUUUGAGACUACGCUGUAUCUAAACUGAUUACUACAUGUGAUGUCGGGAUUGACACUAGUUUGUACAACAUAUGAGUCCAAUAUCUCUGGCAAACUCGAGGUCAUUUAAAAAAUGAAUUGGUAUUAUAAUUUCUAUUUAUUUGUUGUUUAUGGUCUGGAUCAUCUUGAGUGGCUUCACAAAUGGAACACUAUUCCCUGUAUAGUGCACUACUUUUGACCAGGGCCCUAUGGAGUAACUAGUGCACUACUUUUGACCAGGGCCCUAUGGAGUAACUAGUGCACUACUUUUGACCAGAGCCCUAUGGAGUAACUAGUGCACUACUUUUGACCAGGGCCCUAUGGAGUAACUAGUGCACUACUUUUGACCAGGGCCCUAUGGAGUAACUAGUGCACUACUUUUGACCAGAGCCUUAUGGAGUAACUAGUGCACUACUUUUGACCAGAGCCCUAUGGAGUAACUAGUGCACUACUUUUGACCAGAGCCCUAUGGAGUAACUAGUGCACUACUUUUGACCAGAGCCCUAUGGAGUAACUAGUGCACUACUUUUGACCAGAGCCCUAUGGAGUAACUAGUGCACUACUUUUGACCAGGGCCCUAUGGAGUAACUAGUGCACUACUUUUGACCAGAGCCUUAUGGAGUAACUAGUGCACUACUUUUGACCAGAGCCCUAUGGAGUAACUAGUGCACUACUUUUGACCAGAGCCCUAUGGAGUAACUAGUGCACUACUUUUGACCAGGGCCCUAUGGAGUAACUAGUGCACUACUUUUGACCAGGGCCCUAUGGAGUAACUAGUGCACUACUUUUGACCAGAGCCCUAUGGAGUAACUAGUGCACUACUUUUGACCAGGGCCCUAUGGAGUAACUAGUGCACUACUUUUGACCAGAGCCCUAUGGAGUAACUAGUGCACUACUUUUGACCAGGGCCCUAUGGAGUAACUAGUGCACUACUUUUGACCAGAGCCCUAUGGAGUAACUAGUGCACUACUUUUGACCAGAGCCCUAUGGGGUAAGUCGUGCACUAUAUUAGGGAAUAGGGUGCCAUUUUGGGGAGUACCAAAUAACAAAAAUUGAAGUUUUUGUUGAGCAGCUAUGUACUCUUAGCUACACAAUGAAAUACUCCCUGCUGGGACAAUAAAGUUUGAAUUGAACUGGUCUCUUUAAUAUGGUUGUAAACACACUGUACACACACCAGGAACAGUAGACCUGACAUCCGGACCCCCUCAAUACACACCAGGAACAGUAGACCUCACAUCCUGACCCCCUCAAUACACACCAGGAACAGUAGACAUCACAUCCUGACCCCCUCAACAGGAGUAAUUUCACUGUAUGAUUCUGUCCCAAAUGGCCCAGGUGAAAAGUAGUGCACUUGUUACUCCAUAGGGUCUGGUCAAAAGUAGUGCACUAUAUAGGGGAAUAGGGUGCCAUUUUGGCCAGAGACUAUGAUUAGUUCCUUGUUGUUCAGAGAUGUAGCCUAGGCCUAGAUCUGUAAUCUACAGACUCUUUGUUAGGCUACUUCUCUAAUCACUCUCACAGGUGAGGUUUAAUCCAAAGUAUUCCGUCUCUGAAUCCACCGUUGAAUCAGAGUCCUCUUCCUGUGUGUCAUUUCCUUGUAGUGCUGAUGAUGCAUGUCCCGCUUCCUCUGUUUCUGUCUCUCCUAGCAGGGAACCCCUGUCUUUCUCUUCUUCUCUCUCUUCCUGUACUGUUGAUCCUCUAUCCUCCUCUCUUUCUGUCUCUUCUGACAGUGGACUCCACUCUUCCUCAUCUUCUUCACCCUCUUCCUCCAGUGGACCCCAGUCCAGCUCUAUUUCAAACUCAUCCUCCACUGGCCCCCCGUCCUCCUCUCUUCCGGUCUCCUCUGUCGGUUUAGCCGUAGGAGGAGGUCGUGGGCAGACUUCACCGCUGACACUAUGUUGGAAAAACAGCUCACAGUCCUCCCUCCAGCAUUUGAUGUUGAUGUUGUACCCAGCUGCCUUCAUCUCUUUCUGCUUAUUUAGGACAUUGCUAUGUGUGGUUGUUAUGCCCAUUUUAGAGAGUCUUUUGAAAAUGGGCUUAACCCCCCCUUGGGUCAGUGUUGUGUUGAUGACAUAGGCCAGUGCAGAAAGCCUGGGGUUUCUACCUCUCAGGACCACAGAGGCAGCCACACAGUUAUGGAUGGUGGAACCACCUGUUGCAGUAUUGAUGGUGGUAUAAAGCCAUGGUGUCUUCCUGGACAACUCAUUAUCCAACGCUUCGUAUGAAAAAUACUUCAUUUUCUCCAACGAGGUACUACUCAAAAUGCAAGGUUCAGCAGAGGUCAAGUAAUUUAAGGGUCUUGCAUAUGCCUUGACCUCUGCUUCUAUUUUCUGCGUCAUCUGCUUUCUGAUUUCUUGACACAUGGUCUCAUUCGUCAAGGCUAACCUGACAAAUGUCGCCAGUUUGCCUUUCGCCAGGUUUUCAACCAUUCCAGAAAAUUCUGAUGAAACCUUCUUGACCCUCUUUGGAUCCAAUUGGUUCGGGUAUGUUAUGACAACCUGCAAAAUAAUG